AGAAUCAACGCUGGCGGCGUGCCUAACACAUGCAAGUCGCACGAGAAAGGGACUUCGGUCCUGAGUACAGUGGCGCACGGGUGAGUAACACGUGAAUCAUCUACCUCCGAGUGGGGAAUAACCUAGAGAAAUCUGGGCUAAUACCGCAUAACACUUACGAGUCAAAGCAGCGAUGCGCUUGGAGAGGAGUUCGCGGCAGAUUAGUUAGUUGGCGGGGUAAUGGCCCACCAAGACGAUGAUCGUGUA
rnacentral:rRNA from 1 species